rnacentral:rRNA from 1 species
UACGUAGGGUGCGAGCGUUAAUCGGAAUUACUGGGCGUAAAGCGUGCGCAGGCGGUUUUGUAAGCCAGAUGUGAAAUCCCCGGGCUUAACCUGGGAAUGGCAUUUGGGACUGCAAGGCUGGAGUUUGGCAGAGGAGACUGGAAUUCCCGGUGUAGCAGUGAAAUGCGUAGAUAUCGGGAGGAAUACCGAUGGCGAAGGCAGGUCUCUGGGCAACAACUGACGCUGAGGAGCGAAAGCGUGGGGAGCGAACAGG